rnacentral:piRNA from 1 species
UUCUGAAAUUGGAAUUCGAAC